GACGAACGCUGGCGGCGUGCUUAACACAUGCAAGUCGAGCGGAGCGGCGAACGGGUGAGUAACGCGUGAGUAACUGCCCCCCUCUCUGGGAUAACAGUUGGAAACGGCUGCUAAUACCGGAUAGUGGGGGAUGACUCGCGUCCUAUCAGCUUGUUGGUGGGGUAGUGGCCUACCAAGGCGACGACGGGUAGCCGGCCUGAGAGGGCGACCGGCCUCAUUGCGCUGGAGUACUACCCCAACUACUACGGGAGGCAGCACUGGGGAAUAUUGCCCGAUAGCAGAAUCCCUGAUGCAGCAACGCCGAGUGCGGGAUGACGGGGGUCGGGUUGUAAACCGCUUUCAGCCAUGGCGCGGUAGUAGCAGAAGAUGCACCGGCAAACUACGUACCAGCAGCCGCGGUAGUAC
rnacentral:rRNA from 1 species